UCAAUCCUUUCCCUUUUUCUCUUUUUAAUAACUCGUUAUUUAGAGAUAGUGGUUGAGCAGUGAGAAGUGCACCGGAAGUGUACUUCGAGCGAAGGGGAAGCUACACGGAGCAUCUCUUUCUUACCCUUCGGGUGGUCACAGGGAAGCUCUCUAAUAGAUCACUUAAGACAAAGGGAAAAUAUAAUAUUUUUCCGUGUUCAGUUAAGUAAUGUCCCUUACGG
rnacentral:lncRNA from 1 species